rnacentral:rRNA from 1 species
CCAGACUCCUACGGGAGGCAGCAGUGGGGAAUAUUGCACAAUGGGGGAAACCCUGAUGCAGCAACGCCGCGUGAGUGAAGAAGUAUUUCGGUAUGUAAAGCUCUAUCAGCAGGGAAGAAAAUGACAGUACCUGACUAAGAAGCCCCGGCUAACUACGUGCCAGCAGCCGCGGUAAUACGUAGGGGGCAAGCGUUAUCCGGAUUUACUGGGUGUAAAGGGAGCGUAGACGGCUGCGCAAGUCAGAAGUGAAAGCCCGGGGCUCAACCGCGGGACUGCUUUUGAAACUGUGUAGCUAGAGUGCAGGAGAGGUAAGUGGAAUUCCUAGUGUAGCGGUGAAAUGCGUAGAUAUUAGGAGGAACACCAGUGGCGAAGGCGACUUUCUGGACUGUACCUGACGCUGAGGCGCGAAAGCGUGGGUAGCGAACGGGAUUAGAUACCCCAGUAAGG